AACGAACGCUGGCGGCAUGCCUAACACAUGCAAGUCGAGCGAUCCCUUCGGGGAUAGUGGCGCACGGGUGCGUAACGCGUGGGAACCUGCCCUUAGGUUCGGAAUAACUCAGAGAAAUUUGAGCUAAUACCGGAUAAUGUCUUCGGACCAAAGAUUUAUCGCCUUUGGAUGGGCCCGCGUUGGAUUAGCUAGUUGGUGGGGUAAAGGCCUACCAAGGCGACGAUCCAUAGCUGGUCUGAGAGGAUGAUCAGCCACACUGGGACUGAGACACGGCCCAGACUCCUACGGGAGGCAGCAGUGGGGAAUAUUGGACAAUGGGCGAAAGCCUGAUCCAGCAAUGCCGCGUGAGUGAUGCAGGCCUUAGGGUUGUAAAGCUCUUUUACCCGGGAUGAUAAUGACGGUACCGGGAGAAUAAGCCCCGGCUAACUCCGUG
rnacentral:rRNA from 1 species